rnacentral:rRNA from 1 species
GGUUAAGUGACUAAGCGUACACGGUGGAUGCCUUGGCAGUCAGAGGCGAUGAAAGACGUAGUAACUUGCGAUAAGCCCAGAUUAGGUAGUAACAACCAUUUGAGUCUGGGAUUUCUGAAUGGGGAAACCCACGUGCAUAAGCACGUAUCCUUACCUGAAUACAUAGGGUAAGGAGGCGAACCGGGGGAACUGAAACAUCUAAGUACCCCGAGGAAAAGAAAUCAACCGAGAUUCCGAAAGUAGCGGCGAGCGAAAUUGGACUAGCCCUUAAGCUUUACACGCGUUAGACGAACGGUCUGGAAAGUCCGACGAUACAGGGUGAUAGUCCCGUAGUUGACGACGUGUGUUCAGUGAAAUCGAGUAGGGCGGGACACGUGAUAUCCUGUCUGAAUAUGGGGGGACCAUCCUCCAAGGCUAAAUACUACUGACUGACCGAUAGUGAACCAGUACCGUGAGGGAAAGGCGAAAAGAACCCCUGUGAGGGGAGUGAAAUAGAACCUGAAACCGUGUACGUACAAGCAGUAGGAGCAGGCUUGUCCUGUGACUGCGUACCUUUUGUAUAAUGGGUCAGCGACUUAUAUUCAGUGGCAAGGUUAACCAUCUAGGGGAGCCGUAGGGAAACCGAGUCUUAACUGGGCGUUCAGUCUCUGGAUAUAGACCCGAAACCAGGUGAUCUAGCCAUGGGCAGGUUGAAGGUUGAGUAACAUCAACUGGAGGACCGAACCGACUAAUGUUGAAAAAUUAGCGGAUGACUUGUGGCUAGGGGUGAAAGGCCAAUCAAACCUGGAGAUAGCUGGUUCUCCCCGAAAGCUAUUUAGGUAGCGCCUCGGACGAAUACUACUGGGGGUAGAGCACUGUUAAGGCUAGGGGGUCAUCCCGACUUACCAACCCUUUGCAAACUCCGAAUACCAGUAAGUACUAUCCGGGAGACACACGGCGGGUGCUAACGUCCGUCGUGGAGAGGGAAACAACCCAGACCGCCAGCUAAGGUCCCAAAUUACUACUAAGUGGGAAACGAUGUGGGAAGGCUCAGACAGCCAGGAUGUUGGCUUAGAAGCAGCCAUCAUUUAAAGAAAGCGUAAUAGCUCACUGGUCGAGUCGGCCUGCGCGGAAGAUGUAACGGGGCUAAGUA